UACGGAGGGGGCUAGCGUUGUUCGGAAUUACUGGGCGUAAAGCGCACGUAGGCGGCUUUGUAAGUUAGAGGUGAAAGCCCGGAGCUCAACUCCGGAAUUGCCUUUAAGACUGCAUCGCUUGAAUCAUGGAGAGGUGAGUGGAAUUCCGAGUGUAGAGGUGAAAUUCGUAGAUAUUCGCAAGAACACCAGUGGCGAAGGCGGCUCACUGGCCCGGUACUGACGCUGAGGUGCGAAAGCGUGGGGAGCAAACGGG
rnacentral:rRNA from 1 species